CGGGAUAGGACUAAGACAUGCUAGUCGAGCGCUCCCUAGCCAAUUUGGGAGCGCGGCGCACAGCUCAGUAGCACGUGGCUAACCUGCCCUUGGGACAAGAACAACCCCGGGAAACUGGGGCUAAUUCUUGAUAGGUGAAGAACUCUGGAAUGAGUCUUCGCCCAAAGGGGGCUAAAGCUAUGCUCUUUAGCUUUGCCCAAGGAUGGGGCCGCGACCGAUCAGGUUGUUGGUGAGGUAAUGGCUCACCAAGCCUUUUACCGGUGCGGGCCGUGAGAGCGGGAGCCCGGAGAUGGGCACUGAGACAAGGGCCCAGGCCCUACGGGGCGCAGCAGUCGCGAAAACUUUGCAAUACACGGAAGUGUGACAGGGCUAUCCCGAGUGCCAUCCGCUGAGGAAGGCUUUUACCCAGUUUAGAACGCUGGGGGAAUAAGGAGAGGGCAAGUCUGGUGUCAGCCGCCGCGGUAAUACCAGCUCUCCGAGUGGUGUGGAUGUUUAUUGGGCCUAAAGCAUCCGUAGCUGGCUAGGUUAGUCUCUUGUUAAAUCCACCGAAUUAAUCGAUGGUUUGCGGGAGAUACUGCUUGGCUAGGGGACGGGAGAGGCAGACGGUAUUUCCGGGGUAGGGGUGAAAUCCUAUAAUCCCGGGAAGACCACCAGUGGCGAAGGCUGUCUGCUAGAACGCGCCCGACGGUGAGGGAUGAAAGCUGGGGGAGCGAACCGGAUUAGAUACCCGGGUAGUCCCAGCUGUAAACGAUGCAGGCUAGGUGUUUGGACGGCUACGUGCCGUUCUAGUGCCGCAGGGAAGCUGUUAAGCCUGCCGCCUGGGGAGUACGAUCGCAAGAUUGAAACUU
rnacentral:rRNA from 1 species